rnacentral:tRNA from 1 species
CGGGGUGUAGCUCAGCCUGGUCAGAGCGCUUGGUUCGGGAUCAAGAGGCCGGUGGUUCGAAUCCACUCACCCCGA